AGAUAAAGAAAAAGAAGUGAAC
rnacentral:snRNA from 1 species